GACGAAGGGGGCUAGCGUUGUUCGGAAUUACUGGGCGUAAAGCGCACGUAGGCGGAUAUUUAAGUCGGGGGUGAAAUCCCGGGGCUCAACCCCGGAACUGCCUUCGAUACUGGGUAUCUUGAGUUCGGAAGAGGUGAGUGGAAUUGCGAGUGUAGAGGUGAAAUUCGUAGAUAUUCGCAGGAACACCAGUGGCGAAGGCGGCUCACUGGUCCGAUACUGACGCUGAGGUGCGAAAGCGUGGGGAGCAAACAGG
rnacentral:rRNA from 1 species